AUUGAACGCUGGCGGAAUGCUUUACACAUGCAAGUCGAACGGCAGCACGGACUUCGGUCUGGUGGCGAGUGGCGAACGGGUGAGUAAUGUAUCGGAACGCGCCCAGUCGUGGGGGAUAACGUAGUGAAAAUUACGCUAAUACCGCAUACGAUCUAUGGAUGAAAGCGGGGGAUCGCAAGACCUCGCGCGAUUGGAGCGGCCGGUAUCAGAUUAGGUAGUUGGUGGGGUAAAGGCCCACCAAGCCAACGGUCUGUAGCUGGUCUGAGAGGACGCCCAGCCACACGGGAACUGAGACACGGUCCAGACUCCUACGGGAGGCAGCAGUGGGGAAGUUUGUACAAUGGGCGAAAGCCUGGUCCAGCCAUUCCGCGUGCAGGAUGAAGGCCCUCGGGUUGUAAACUGCUUUUGUGCAGAACGAAAAGGUUUCUACUAAUACUAGGAGCUCAUGACGGUACUGUAAGAAUAAGCACCGGCUAACUACGUGCCAGCAGCCGCCGUAA
rnacentral:rRNA from 1 species